UGGAGAGAGUGAUUAUUAUAAGGCACGGAUUCUGGCACUGGGAGAAUCGGAGGACUUCGCUGACACUCAGAGCAAAGAAAGAACACGUAUUCCUAAGAGGGCUUAUUCGCCAGCACCUUCCGACUACGAGAACGAAGCGGAGAGCCCUAUCAAAGAAAAAACAAAAGGCAAAACAACAAGCGGCCCAGAGUCGCGCCUUCUACACUUGCUGAAGAGCAAAAAAGAAAAUAUGAAGAGGC